CCCGCCACUAUAGCAGCCUGACCCGUGACUGUGUAUAAUCCAGUGGUGCGCUGAGACCAAAUCCCGUUCUAGGAAACAGGUUCAGUCUACGUGUGAGUGAUCCUGUGCCGAAAGACUGGGGACAAAC
rnacentral:snoRNA from 1 species